UUGAACGCUGGCGGCAGGCCUAACACCUUCCAGUCGAGCGGAUGAAGGGAGCUUGCUCCUGGAUUCAGCGGCGGACGGGUGAGUAAUGCCUAGGAAUCUGCCUGGUAGUGGGGGAUAACGUCCGGAAACGGGCGCUAAUACCGCAUACGUCCUGAGGGAGAAAGUGGGGGAUCUUCGGACCUCACGCUAUCAGAUGAGCCUAGGUCGGAUUAGCUAGUUGGUGGGGUAAAGGCCUACCAAGGCGACGAUCCGUAACUGGUCUGAGAGGAUGAUCAGUCACACGGGAACUGAGACACGGUCCAGACUCCUACGGGAGGCAGCAGUGGGGAAUAUUGGACAAUGGGCGAAAGCCUGAUCCAGCCAUGCCGCGUGUGUGAAGAAGGUCUUCGGAUUGUAAAGCACUUUAAGUGGGGAGGAAGGGCAGUAAGUUAAUACCUUGCUGUUUUGACGGUACCAACAGAAUAAGCACCGGCUAACUUCGUG
rnacentral:rRNA from 1 species